UUCUGGGAAUUUCUCCUACCCCGUAAACCGUCCUACCCGUUGUUCCUGAGCAUGUGCGAGCAUGCGCACAACACAAAAAGGGAAGCUAAGCGCAUCCGGCUGUGAUUUCACGCUACUCCAUUGUCAUAUUUGCAGGAGAAUAGAUACGGUGAAGUCUGCUGUCAAGUUACCGGACGCGUGGUAUUUGCACAACACUUUUGAGUCCGCAGCUUCGGUGUUUUAAGGCUGUUUCGAUAUGGAGAAGAAGUGGGAAGAGAUUUACGCGUUCAUUUCUGCGGGCUCCUACCCUUCAGGAUAUGACAAGGCUCAGAGGCAAAACCUCAGAAGAUAUGCCUCAAAUUCAAACAAAAGGAUGGAGAACUCUUUGUUGGAUCCAGAAGAGUAGUAAAAACCAUGGAUGAUGCCAGGAAGAUAUUUCAUGAGUUUCAUUCAUCUCCAAUUGGAGGACACACUGGCACACACAAAACGCUAAAUGCAGUGUGUUCCAGAUUUUACUGGUUUGGUAUGACAGUUGACAUUAAAACAUGGAUUCAGGAAUGUGACCAGUGUCAAAAAGUUGGGAAACCACUGACUGCUGUGCAACCGUUGCAGUGUAUUCAGGUGUCUGAAGUGUGGGAACUUAUUGGUAUAGAUCUUACUGGACCUCUUCCUAAAACUUCAAGCGGCUUCCAGUAUAUACUUACUGCAACUGACUACUUUUCAAAAUGGGUUGAAGCUUUCCCAUUAAAAACUAAAUCUGCAUCUGAGGUAACCCAGCACUUGUGCUCCAUUAUAUAUAGACAUGGCUGCCCCAAAAGGAUUUUGUCAGACCAAUGCAGAGAGUUUGUGAAUGAAGUAAGUGUUAAAUAGAGCUGGGCGAUAGAACGAUAACGAUA